AUUGAACGCUGGCGGCAGGCCUAACACAUGCAAGUCGAGCGGAUGAGGGUAGCUUGCUACCUGAUUCAGCGGCGGACGGGUGAGUAAUGCCUAGGAAUCUGCCUGGUAGUGGGGGACAACGUUUCGAAAGGAACGCUAAUACCGCAUACGUCCUACGGGAGAAAGUGGGGGAUCUUCGGACCUCACGCUAUCAGAUGAGCCUAGGUACGAUUAGCUAGUUGGGGAGGUAAGGGCUCACCAAGGCGACGAUCGUUAACUGGUCUGAGAGGAUGUUCAGUCACACUGGGACUGAGACACGGUCUAGACUCCUACGGGAGGCAGCAGUGGGGAAUAUUGGACAAUGGGCGAAAGCCUGAUCCAGCCAUGCCGCGUGUGUGAAGAAGGUCUUCGGAUUGUAAAGCACUUUAAGUUGGGAGGAAGGGCAGUAAGUUAAUACCUUGCUGUUUUGACGUUACCAACAGAAUAAGCACCGGCUAACUUCGUGCCAGCCGCCGCCGUAAAAC
rnacentral:rRNA from 1 species